rnacentral:rRNA from 1 species
AGAGUUUGAUCCUGGCUCAGAACGAACGCUGGCGGCAUGCCUAACACAUGCAAGUCGAACGUGAUCCAGGCUUCGGCCUGGUGAAAGUGGCAGACGGGUGAGUAACGCGUGGGAACCUGCCCUGUGGUAGGGAAUAACCGUGGGAAACUGCGGCUAAUACCCUAUGAGUCCUUCGGGAGAAAGAUUUAUCGCCAUAGGAGGGGCCCGCGUCGGAUUAGGUAGUUGGUGGGGUAACGGCCUACCAAGCCUUCGAUCCGUAGCUGGUCUGAGAGGAUGAUCAGCCACACUGGGACUGAGAUACGGCCCAGACUCCUACGGGAGGCAGCAGUGGGGAAUAUUGGACAAUGGGGGCAACCCUGAUCCAGCAAUGCCGCGUGGAUGAUGAAGGCCUUCGGGUUGUAAAGUCCUUUCGGCGGGGAAGAUGAUGACGGUACCCGCAGAAGAAGCCCCGGCUAACUUCGUGCCAGCAGCCGCGGUAAUACGAAGGGGGCUAGCGUUGUUCGGAGUUACUGGGCGUAAAGGGCGCGUAGGCUGUGCUGUAAGUCAGGCGUGAAAGCCCCGGGCUCAACCUGGGAAUUGCGCUUGAUACUGCGGCGCUGGAAGGUGGGAGAGGAUGGCGGAAUUCCCAGUGUAGAGGUGAAAUUCGUAGAUAUUGGGAAGAACACCGGUGGCGAAGGCGGCCAUCUGGCCCACAUUUGACGCUGAGGCGCGAAAGCGUGGGGAGCAAACAGGAUUAGAUACCCUAGUAGUCC